UGGGGAAUAUUGCGCAAUGGGCGCAAGCCUGAUGCAGCCAUGCCGCGUGUAUGAAGAAGGCCUUCGGGUUGUAAAGUACUUUCAGCGGGGAGGAAGGCGAUAAGGUUAAUAACCUUGUCGAUUGACGUUACCCGCAGAAGAAGCACCGGCUAACUCCGUGCCAGCAGCCGCGGUAAUACGGAGGGUGCAAGCGUUAAUCGGAAUUACUGGGCGUAAAGCGCACGCAGGCGGUCUGUCAAGUCGGAUGUGAAAUCCCCGGGCUCAACCUGGGAACUGCAUUCGAAACUGGCAGGCUAGAGUCUUGUAGAGGGGGGUAGAAUUCCAGGUGUAGCGGUGAAAUGCGUAGAGAUCUGGAGGAAUACCGGUGGCGAAGGCGGCCCCCUGGACAAAGACUGACGCUCAGGUGCGAAAGCGUGGGGAGCAAACA
rnacentral:rRNA from 1 species